rnacentral:misc_RNA from 1 species
CGCACAUUGCGCUCUUCGGUAGCCCGGAGAGCAUGCCUGUUCGAGCGUCAUUUAAAUCUCUCAAAACUUAGUUUUGAUGUUGGACUUUUCGUCUUUUAAUCAAGACGGGUCUUUAAUUUGUUAGCAACUUUUCGAUUUGCUUGUAAAACGUCGUAAAACUUUUAUAACCGUUUUAAACAAGCUCGACAAAGUUUCGCUUCUUUGACAUAACCAAUUUUUGACCUCGGAUCAGGCAAGGAUACCCGCUGAACUUAA